GGACUCCCAUCCAUACUGUUGCAGCACUGUAGCAGACAGCACACUAUUCAGAACUGAGAAUCAGUGCAGUUCCUCCUGUACAGAGCUGCACUGAAUGAAGCAGAGCUGGCACAAACCUAGAACAAUGAGAGUCAAGCCAGGUCCUGUCAGUGGGAUGGUGGUCCUGUUUGCAAGAGAGGAAACUCGCUGAGUGGUUAAGGAGAAUGUUUACAGUGAUGUCACCAGCGAUCUGCCUUACCUAUCAGUCCUCCAAGUGGCA